rnacentral:rRNA from 1 species
GCAACCAGUGUGCAGGGGGCGGGGGAAAGAGUAGGGGGGAAGCGUUGUCCGGAGUUAUUGGGCGUAAAGGGCUCGGAGGUGGUUUGGGAAGUCGGAUGUGAAAUCUCCAGGCUCAACCUGGAGGGGUCAUUCGAUACUGCCAUGACUAGAGGUCGGUAGGGGAGUGUGGAAUUCCUGGUGGAGCGGUGAAAUGCGCAGAUAUCAGGAGGAACACCCGUAGCGAAGGCGGCACUCUGGGCCGAUUCUGACACUGAGGAGCGAAAGCGUGGGGAGCGAACAGGAUUAGAUACCCCAGUAGUC